rnacentral:tRNA from 1 species
UGCGCAGUUGGUAGAGCACCUGACUGUUAAUCAGGUUGUCGUCAGUUCGAGCCUGACA